rnacentral:rRNA from 1 species
GACGAACGCUGGCGGCGUGCUUAACACAUGCAAGUCGUACGGUAAGGCCCUUUCGGGGGUACACGAGUGGCGAACGGGUGAGUAACACGUGAGUAACCUGCCCACAACUUUGGGAUAACGCUAGGAAACUGGUGCUAAUACUGGAUAUGUGCCCCUGCUGCAUGGUGGGGGUUGGAAAGCUCCGGCGGUUGUGGAUGGACUCGCGGCCUAUCAGCUUGUUGGUGGGGUAGUGGCCUACCAAGGCGGCGACGGGUAGCCGGCCUGAGAGGGUGACCGGCCACAUUGGGACUGAGAUACGGCCCAGACUCCUACGGGAGGCAGCAGUGGGGAAUAUUGCACAAUGGGCGCAAGCCUGAUGCAGCAACGCCGCGGGCGGGAUGACGGCCUUCGGGUUGUAAACCGCUUUCAGCAGGGACGAAGCUUUUUGUGACGGUACCUGCAGAAGAAGCACCGACUAACUACGUG